rnacentral:lncRNA from 1 species
AAUCUUUUGUCAUUUUCCAUUUAUGCUUACACAUGGUAUAAUAAUAAUAAUAAUAAAAGUAAUCAGCUGUAAUUUGGAUAUUCACUUCUGGUUUGGAUCAGUAUAUGGGAAACUGGUAAUCACAGCCUGAGCCUCUGAUUAAUCAGCUGAGGCAAGUGUCGGUCAGCUGUGGGAGCACAGGUGAGGGUAAUUCAGCUGUGCUCCUGGAAGGGGUGGAGCUUGACUCCGCCUGUUCCAAACUUCAUUUAAGGGCUGACCACCACUAAGGCAGCAUCUCUUUGAGAUUGCUCCUCUGUGGAGAUUGGAUAGCCAGCCUCAGCAUUUUCCAGCCAGACUGAAGGCAUCCAUAUUGGUGAGUUUUUCCUAUAGAUAACCUUUUGGAUAUCUAUCACCAUCCUUCUUGUAUUAUUACCAUCUUUUGUAUUAUUCCACCUUACAAUCAGCAUCCCAAUAAUUAGAUCUUUCUUCUGACUUUUUUGGAGAUGUUCAUAAGGCAAGAUGUGGGGAACAGGUGUCAGAUCUCAGAUUUCUUGGGCUAGAGUCAUAGAAGAGUGCUUUUCCUUCAGACUUGAAGAGCAGAUGAUGUUUUUUUUAUCUAUCACUCCCACUGCACAAAAUUUGGAAAGAAAAUGUAGGGGAUGUGUCUCCACAAACAAGAACCAAUGCAGAGACUGCAGACAUGCACAGAACUUGUCCACUCCAGCAUUGUCAAUACUACUGAUUACAGAGAGCAUCUCACCAAGACUCUCAUUCUGAGAAUCACCCUUGUGAAAUGCUGAAGAUGAUGGAGAAGAUGAAGCAAUGGUUAUUUGAUGUGUACUUGCACAGGUACCAGUGACAGUGUCAGACAGUAGUUCCAAAGCAACGGAGGCAGAUAUAAGGUGCCUUGACUGUAAUGGGAAAGAAUGACUCUGUGAUAUGUGCCCUAGUUCUUCUGUGCUUACCCUAAGCAUCUGUUUCUGGUCACUAUAAGAAGGGGAAUACUUCUCAGGCACAUAAAUGGAAGACUGGACAUACCAGGAUGGACUAAAAGGUCAGAGCCCAGUUUCCUAUGCUCAUCCCUCUACUGGUGAUGUUACCCUUUAACUAAGAGCCUGAGCCACUGAAACAAAUCCAUUUUGAAGACAAAAUUGCACUGUGGUCUUCUAACAACAAAAUUACAAGUGAGAAUAAUAUGAAGAAAAAUCAAAACAACUGGAGAAUGGCUGUAGUGAGAGAAUAUAAGCAGAAGUAUGCUUACAUUCAAAUUAUAUUUAUUAAUAUUUUUAGCAAAUGUAAUAAAGAGUGUCUCAGUGCCUUUAUCA